ACAGAUGCUCUGUCAUUUACAGUAAUAUCAGUAAAAUAAUCCUAUCCUAUGCCUAAAUUAUCACAACAAACAUUUCUCGUCUCAGUCUUGCAAUCAGAGCAGCUCAGGUCAGCUACGGUGAGACACACCGGAUUGAAUGGAUGACUGCAACGUAAUCGCGCCGUUCGUUGUCAAGACUUAUCAGAUGGUUAAUGAUCCGACCACCGAUGAUCUCAUCACGUGGGGCCGAGCGAACAAUAGCUUCAUCGUUGUUAACCCUCUCGAAUUCUCGCAACGAAUCUUGCCUGUUUUCUUCAAGCACAACAACUUCUCUAGCUUCAUCCGUCAACUCAACACAUAUGGUUUUAAGAAGGUGGAUCCGGAUCGGUGGGAAUUUGCGAACGAGUGGUUUCUACGGGGGCAAACGCAAAUAUUGAAGAACAUAGCACGGAAACGACACGGUAAAAGCGGAUUAAAUAAGGACGAUGAUGAUGAGGAAGACGAGGAUUUGGUAACGGAGAUUGCGAGAUUAAAGCUUGAGCAAAAAGAACUAGACCUUGAAGUCGAAGGAAUGACGAAGAGAUUAGAAGCUACCGAGAGGAGGCCGCAGCAAAUGAUGGCGUUUUUGUAUAAAGUCGUUGAAGAUCCCGAAAUAAUUUCACGAAUGAUGCUCGAUAAAGAUCGUACGCGAAGAAUUGGAGAGAAGAAAAGAAGGCUGAUGACGGUUUCUUCGUCUUCGAAUUCUUCGCAUUCUUCGUUGGAAAUGAUGGCAACUACUUCGUUCAAGAGUGAAGAGGAGGUUACGGUGGGGUCACUCUCUUCGGAAGGGAACUUUGACGGUCAUUGUUCAUCAUCCGAAACAAAGGUACCGGCUUGGUUGAUGAGUCAAACAGGACGAGUGAUGGAAACGCAGGCUGUGGUUGCGCAAGGCGGAUAUGACGGAGGAGGAUACUCCGUGGUAUGUCCGCAUGUUGAUGGCGGUGGCGGCGGUGAUGAUAUGAGUUUCUUUGCCGGAAAUUCGAGUCCACUGCCCUAUCCUUUCUCACUGUUGGGGGGUGAAUUUUAGUGUGCGACAGUGUCACCGAGCGGAAAAAUGAUCCAAUUUAGGAAUUCUGUCAUCCAACAUAUUUUUUUUCACUGGACAUAUAUUAUCAAUAAUCGAUUGUCCUGGACCAAUACCCUUUCUCAACACACUGAAAGGUAAAGUUGCAAACAUGGAAUAGAACAAGAAGGCUUGACGAUUUAUGAUAAUGGAACUAUUGUAUUAUAUAUUUUUUUGGGUUCGGGUACUUGACAUAUGUAUGAUGCAGCAUAUUAUAAGCGGUUUUUUCCCGGUGGAUGGCAUUAAUCUAGAUUUUUGAUGAAAAUGCAGGAGACUACUACUGUAUCUUUGAGCGGAAAAAUCACUCAUUCUAGAGUUUUUAACAUCUAGCUAUUUUUUUCCGAUGAACAUAUGGUGCUUAUAAUCGAUUGUUGUUGGAUCAUAUUUUAUAUGCAAAAACAAAGCAGGCCCAGAAACAUAUAGUGAUUUUUUUAAGUGGGCAUGCUCAGAAAUCUUGCAGCUGUUUGUCUCUCAAUUAUCUCUCAUGUGAAAGAAAUAAGGAAAGGAAGAGACUUGACAGCAAUCUAAGGUAGUAAGAUUUGCAUUCUAUAAAAUGGCUUGAUAAUGGACUUGGAAUUCGAGAAGAUCUCUGUAGUAGAUGGAAGUCCUAAUACUGUCCUUCCUUGUCCGCGGCAAUGUUCCAGAGUUGAAAGGGAAAAGACCAAUGGUAAAACCUCAUGAUGCGUUGAGCCAAAAACAAGGGUUUUCAGAUAUAAGGUUUCAUCAUUAUCGUAGGGCAUCCUGUAAACGAUCUCAAUCUAGGAUUACUGUCCUGGAAGGAAAUAAAGUUCUAAAAAGAAGUUCUGUAUAUCAGAGUUCUCAAUAAGUAACAAUGAAGGAUUUAGGUGAUGGGAGAAAAAAUGAAUUUCCACAAGGCAGUGUGAAUGCCUUAUCAAUUGGGGUAGUAGAUUCGCUGUGUGAUUCAGAUGAAGAUAGCUCAUCAGUAUAGUUUAGAUCAUCAGCGAUGUCUCUCAACUCAGAAUCAAGCAAAUCAGUAAUUUGCAAACCAUGUACCUCUGAGGAGGUUUUCAGUAGCUCCCGGCGACCUAUUUUGAAAGAGAGAGGUAUCGUUAUUACAGAUUUCCUUGAAAUCAGAGGACGGAAAAAAUCAAUCACCUAAAUCUGCAGAGAGAAAACAAGUUAGGGCAUCCAUGUGCAGUAACAAUUCAACUUUUAGUCUUCCAAGAGAUGACAGUGGACUUGAAAAGAAGGAUACUGGUUCUGUCAUGCAGAAAUCAUGUUCUGCUCAACCAGUCCUUUCCUAUUCGCAUCCUUGAUUGCAAAGCAGUUGCUCCACACCAAGCACUCUAUUUUCUGGCUUAAGCCCCACGAGAGGGAUGUCCGAACCACUUCUUGAGUCUAAAUCACAGAGAAGUACUUUGGGCUCUGUUCAUGAGCAUAUUCCUGGUGCAAAAGUUGGCAUCAAAAGAAACAAGAGAUUACAGAGAUCGCUCUUGCUUGAUUUUUUGAAAACAUCGGGAACACAUGCGAGUCUCAAAUUGUCAAGGAAAACAGUAAGCCUCCACUGCCUUGUUGACCAGCUCAUUUACAUGGCCAUCCCAAGUUUAAAAUUAAACAUGGGAUGCCAUAUUUUGAGUUUUUGGUAAAGAGUCCAGAAGAAAAAAUUAUAGUCAAGACAUGGAAAGUUGGAAAUGCUUUGAACUGGCUAUACACCUUUCACACCAGUCAAAUGAAAAGUAGCGCUAAAUCUACUGGUUGAGGGAUAAAUGAGAGCAAUAAAGAAUCGGGUAUGGGGACAGAUGCAAGUAUCUUGUUUAUUGCGUUCAGAUCUCAAAGAUGCUGGAGCUUUAGAGAACUCCAUGGUGACUAUGAUAUUAAGCAGGCUAGAAAAGAUAUAGCUGCAAACUCAGCUGAGGAAACAUGCAAGUUGCACGAGACUUCUGAUCUGAGAAAAUUUUGUGAUCGACCAAAAAAUGUCUUUAAUGGUGGUCACUCUCUGUGGGAGCCAGCAGAUUUACAUUCAAACCAUGAAAUUGCGGUAAUCUUUAUUCAAGUUCCACUAGAGAAGUGGGAAAGCUUGAACAUCAACUGGCAUGAUUUCAAGGAAUGGAUCAGAGAACAAACUGCUUGUCCCAGACAAAGGUGAAUGUUGUAACCUCUUCCGGAAAUCAUGGUUUGCCAACUGCAGAAUGUCCUGGCCCUUGACGACUACUAGAUAGAUGGAAAUUUGGCGGAGGCUGUGACUGUGGCGGCUGGGAUAUGGGCUGCCCCCUUGUUACUUUUGACAAAUUCAACCGAUGUCCUGAAGACCAUUCCCCCAUAAGCAACCGGCAGCCUUGGAAACUUUAUAUACAGGGAGGAAAGAGAAAUCACCAGCAUUAAAAAUGCCAGUAACUAAGGAGGGAGAGUAUGAAGUUGAUUUUCAUGCACAAUCAAGUACAUUACAGGCUUUCUCAAUCUGGUUCUUUAUCCUGUGUAGAACAGAGGCUACUGAUGCAGUUAAGGGGUCGAGAGAUGACAAGUUACUACAAUGUGAUUCUCAGAGCGGGCUUUUAGAUGACGAUGGUAAACAUAAAUUUGAAAAUGUCCAAGACAGAAAAAAGAAAGCUCCGGUAUCAUUCGUACUCGAUCCACCUUUUUCUCUGAUUUCUUGAGUAUAGUCUCAGCAUAGGCUCUUCGUGAUGAAGCAAUGACGUCUGGGCAUUUUUUAUAGUAGUAUAUAUAUAGAAAUAUAUAGAAGGCACCAUACUUUGCAUAUAAUCAUUAGCUAAGGAGUUGUAAUCAUAAGUACAUAGCCUUUGUUCGACAGAAGCUGCUUCUGGCUUCUGUUUCUCUUGACCCGUUUGUGUAAAAAAGUAGAAGCACUUUUAAAAAUCUGAGAAUAAUAGCUUCUCUCUCACAACU